rnacentral:sRNA from 1 species
GUUUUGCGUGAGGGAUGGAAGCGAUAUCCUUUUUUUGUUUGGAGCGGCAAAGCUGCUGCAAACAAAAAAAGAUACAGCGGACAGCCCGACCUGAG